UUAUACGAGUAGUGCGCCCUGUGGUAACGCCACGUUGAAACGAUUUGCAAAGAUGAAACGGGAGGUUUAUCAAGAAGGUUUGGGACCGGACGAAUGGGUAGAAAGGGAGCACGAAAAAAU
rnacentral:SRP_RNA from 13 species